GAGUUUGAUCCUGGCUCAGGACGAACGCUGGCGGCGUGCUUAACACAUGCAAGUCGAACGGUAAGGCCUUUCGGUCUACACAAGUGGCUAACGGGUGACUAACACUUGGGUGAUCUGCCCUGCACUUUGGGAUAAGCCUGGGAAACUGGGUCUAAUACCGGAUAGGACUACGCGAUGCAUGUCGUGUGGUGGAAAGCUUUUGCGGUGUGGGAUGGACCCGCGCCCUAUCAGCUUGUUGGAGGUGUGAUGGCCUACCAAGGCUACGACCGGUAGCCGGCCUGAUACGGUGUCCGUCCACACUGCGACUGACAUACGGCCCAGACUCCUACGGGGGGCAACACCGUGGAAUAUUGGACAAUGAUGACUUGCCUGAUGCCCCGACUUCCCCCGAGGUAAGACCGCCUUCCUCUUGUAAACCUCUUUCAUUACGGACUAAGCGCAUGUGACGGUACCUAUACUCGAAGCACCGGUUACUACGUGCCAGCACGCCGCGGUAAUACGUACGGUGCGAGCGUUGUCCGGAAUUACUGGGCGGAAAGAGCUCGCACUGGUUUGUCGCUGUUGUUGGUGAAAACUCACAACUCAAUUGUGGUUGUGCGGAAGAAACCCGCAUACUGCAGCACUGGUGGGGACACUGGACUUCUUGUUGGAGCGUUGGACUGGCCACAUUUCUCGAGGAACACCGUAGUUAAAGGCGUAGCUCUGGGCGGAUCUGACGCUGAGAAACCCACACCUAGUACCCGCACUUAAUUAGAUGCCCUGCAAGGCCACGCCGCAUGUUCGGUCCCCAAGGUGUCGCUCCCCUUCCUUGGUAACCGCGCAGAAACUCGCCUUCUACGUCCGUGUUCUGCCUGAUAUCUGCGCAUUCCUCCGCUACACCAGGAAUUGACGGGGGCCCGCACAAGCGGCGGAGCAUGUGGAUUAAUUCGAUGCAACGCGAAGAACCUUACCUGGGUUUGACAUGCACAGGACGCCGGCAGAGAUGUCGGUUCCCUUGUGGCCUGUGUGCAGGUGGUGCAUGGCUGUCGUCAGCUCGUGUCGUGAGAUGUUGGGUUAAGUCCCGCAACGAGCGCAACCCUUGUCUCAUGUUGCCAGCACGUAAUGGUGGGGACUCGUGAGAGACUGCCGGGGUCAACUCGGAGGAAGGUGGGGAUGACGUCAAGUCAUCAUGCCCCUUAUGUCCAGGGCUUCACACAUGCUACAAUGGCCGGUACAAAGGGCUGCGAUGCCGUGAGGUGGAGCGAAUCCUUGUUAAAGCCGGUCUCAGUUCGGAUCGGGGUCUGCAACUCGACCCCGUGAAGUCGGAGUCGCUAGUAAUCGCAGAUCAGCAACGCUGCGGUGAAUACGUUCCCGGGCCUUGUACACACCGCCCGUCACGUCAUGAAAGUCGGUAACACCCGAAGCCGGUGGCCUAACCCGUAAGGGGGGGAGCCGUCGAAGGUGGGAUCGGCGAUUGGGACGAAGUCGUAACAAGGUAGCCGUACCGGAAGGUGCGGCUGGAUCACCUCCUUUCU
rnacentral:rRNA from 1 species